rnacentral:lncRNA from 1 species
UGGACAGGUUGAAGACGGCCCCGGCGAAGGAUGCCCCAUCGAACUCGUCGAACCCGCCGCCGUCCUUCUCCUCGUGCCUGGUCGGCAGCAGCGGCUCCCUGUCGUCGGAAAUCACCUGCUUCCCCUUCCCCGAGCUCUUCUCCCUCGGCGCCACACCUAUCGUCAUCGUUAUCUCCCCCCAACAAAAAUCAACAAAUCACACCUCGCCGGCAAAAAUUCCUCCAACUCGGCAAUCAAUUAUCGAUCUCCGACGGGACGAUGCCGAGGAAGAAGAAUCUAAAUCUCUCCACAGAUCGGCCGGACCAAAACGGCUGAAUCUAGGGUAAACCUCCGGCAAAGGAGAAUGAGAGAGAGAGGCGGGUGGUUGGAGACCAGGGAGAGAGGAAAAAGAGAGCGCUGGGGAGAGGAUGUCUGCUGUGUGCUCCCUUUCUUCGCCCUCCUCUUCUCUCUCCACCUUGUAUCUCCCUCUCUCUCUCUCCCUUCCGGCGGCGGCGAGGGAGGUGGUCGUCUUCUUCUUCAGUCCCGUGCGGCUC